rnacentral:rRNA from 1 species
UACGUAGGGGGCAAGCGUUGCCCGGAUUUAUUGGGCGUAAAGGGCGCGUAGGCGGUCACGCACGUCCGUUGUGAAAUCGCUCGGCUCAACUGGGCGGGGUCAGCGGAUACGGCGUGGCUGGAGCAAGCUAGGGGGCAAUGGAAUUCCCGGUGUAGUGGUGGAAUGCGUAGAUAUCGGGAGGAACACCAGUGGCGAAGGCGGUUGCCUGGAGCUUUGCUGACGCUGAUGCGCGAAAGCGUGGGGAGCGAGUCCGG